rnacentral:rRNA from 1 species
GCAGCCGAGCGAGAACGCUCUCCCCUUUUGGGGAGAGUUAGUAAAGCGGCGGACGGCUUAGUAAAACGUAGGUACCUACCCUCAGGACCGGGAUAACUCGCCGAAAGGCGAGCUAAUACCGGAUAAUCCCUAGCGGGCAAAGACUCCGGUGCCUUUGGAGGGGCCUACGCCCUAUUAGCUAGUUGGUGAGGUAAAUGCUCACCAAGGCGAUGAUGGGUAGCUGGUCUGAGAGGAUGGCCAGCAAGACUGGGACUGAGACACGGCCCAGACUCCUACGGGAGGCAGCAGGUCAGAAUAUUGCGCAAUGGGUUCACCGCCUGACGCAGCGAUGCCGCGUGAGGGAAGACGGCCAUACGGUUGUAAACCUCUGUCGGGAGGGACGAACACUGGCUAGGCCAGUUGACGGUACCUCCAACAGGAAGCCUCGGCUAACUACGUGCCAGCAGCCGCGGUAAUACGUAGGAGGCGAGCGUUAUCCGGAAUCACUGGGCGUACAGGGUCCGCAGGCUGGCUCGUGUGUCGAAGGUGAAAUCCCGGGGCUCAACCCCGGAAGUGCCUUCGAAACUGCGAGUCUAGAGGAAACCAGAGGGUGAUGGAAUUCCCGGAGUAGCGGUGAAAUGCGUAGAUAUCGGGAAGAACGCCAGUGGCGAAAGCGAUCCCCUGGGGUUUUCCUGACGCU